UGGGGAAUAUUGGACAAUGGGCGCAAGCCUGAUCCAGCCAUGCCGCGUGAGUGACGAAGGCCUUAGGGUUGUAAAGCUCUUUUUGGCGGGGAAGAUAAUGACGGUACCCGCAGAAUAAGCUCCGGCUAACUUCGUGCCAGCAGCCGCGGUAAUACGAAGGGAGCUAGCGUUGUUCGGAAUCACUGGGCGUAAAGCGCACGUAGGUGGGCAGUUAAGUCAGGGGUGAAAGCCCGAGGCUCAACCUCGGAAUUGCCUCUGAUACUGGCUGUCUAGAGUUCGAGAGAGGUGAGUGGAAUUCCUAGUGUAGAGGUGAAAUUCGUAGAUAUUAGGAAGAACACCAGUGGCGAAGGCGGCUCACUGGCUCGAUACUGACACUGAGGUGCGAAAGCGUGGGGAGCAAACAGGAUUAGAUACCCUUGUAGUCCCUGAGCGGGCUGGCAAGGCGCAU
rnacentral:rRNA from 1 species